GAUGAAGAACGUAGCGAAAUGCGAUAAGUAAUGUGAAUUGCAGAAUUCAGUGAAUCAUCGAAUCUUUGAACGCACAUUGCGCCCGCCAGUAUUCUGGCGGGCAUGCCUGUUCGAGCGUCAUUUCAACCAUCAAGCCCCAGGCUUGUGUUGGAGCCCUGCGGCUGCCGCAGCCUCCCAAAACCAGUGGCGGGCUCGCUAUCACACCGAGUGCAGUAGUUUACUCUUCGCUCAGGGCGUGUGGCGGGUGCUAGCCGUGAAACCCCCAACUUCUCAAGGUUGACCUCGGAUCAGGUAGGAAUACCCGCUGAACUUAAGCAUAUCAAAAGCGGAGGA
rnacentral:misc_RNA from 1 species